UGGAGCAUGUGGUUUAAUUCGAAGCAACGCGCAGAACCUUACCAACCCUUGACAUGGGAAGUUUGGGCUCGGGAGACUGGGUCCUUCAGUUCGGCUGGCUUCCACACAGGUGCUGCAUGGCUGUCGUCAGCUCAUGUCGUGAGAUGUUGGGUUAAGUCCCGCAACGAGCGCAACCCUCGCCAUUAGUUGCCAUCAUUAAGUUGGGCACUCUAGUGGGACUGCCGGUGAUAAGCCGGAGGAAGGUGGGGAUGACGUCAAGUCAUCAUGGCCCUUACGGGCUGGGCUACACACGUGCUACAAUGGCGGUGACAGUGGGCAGCAACUCAGCAAUGGGGAGCUAAUCUCAAAAAGCCGUCUCAGUUCGGAUUGGGGUCUGCAACUCGACCCCAUGAAGUCGGAAUCGCUAGUAAUCGCGGAUCAGCACGCCGCGGUGAAUACGUUCCCGGGCCUU
rnacentral:rRNA from 1 species